GAUGAACGCUGGCGGCGUGCCUAAUACAUGCAAGUCGAGCGAACAGACGAGGAGCUUGCUCCUCUGACGUUAGCGGCGGACGGGUGAGUAACACGUGGAUAACCUACCUAUAAGACUGGGAUAACUUCGGGAAACCGGAGCUAAUACCGGAUAAUAUAUUGAACCGCAUGGUUCAAUAGUGAAAGACGGUUUUGCUGUCACUUAUAGAUGGAUCCGCGCCGCAUUAGCUAGUUGGUAAGGUAACGGCUUACCAAGGCGACGAUGCGUAGCCGACCUGAGAGGGUGAUCGGCCACACUGGAACUGAGACACGGUCCAGACUCCUACGGGAGGCAGCAGCAGGGAAUCUUCCGCAAAGGGCGAAAGCCUGACGGAGCAACGCCGCGUGAGUGAUGAAGGUCUUCGGAUCGUAAAACUCUGUUAUUAGGGAAGAACAAAUGUGUAAGUAACUAUGCACGUCUUGACGGUACCUAAUCAGAAAGCCACGGCUAACUACGUG
rnacentral:rRNA from 1 species